UACAGAGGUCCCAAGCGUUGUUCGGAUUCACUGGGCGUAAAGGGUGCGUAGGUGGUGAGGUAAGUCGGAUGUGAAAGCUCGGAGCUCAACUCCGAAAUGGCAUUGGAAACUACCUCGCUAGAGGAUCGGAGGGGAGACUGGAAUUCUCGGUGUAGCAGUGAAAUGCGUAGAUAUCGAGAGGAACACCAGUGGCGAAGGCGGCUCUCUGGACCGAGACUGACGCUGAGGCGCGAAAGCGUGGGGAGCAGACAGG
rnacentral:rRNA from 1 species